UUGAGUUCCGGCUUGGGGGGGGGGGAGCCAUAGUUUCUGUCCUCUCUUUUUGGGGGGUUCCCUUGCUCUCCUGUUGCUCAGAAUUGAACCAGGAUGACAGAGGAGGAAUCCUGGCCCUCCAGAUGUUGCUGGACUCCCAUCCAUGCUGGCAGUCCUGCCUAGAGGACCACAGGUUCCUACACUUGCGAAGUUUGGUGUUGAUCAGAAUUUCCCACACUUGAGUUAAUGGCUGGGGAAACCCAGUCAGAUGGGUAUUGGGUGCUCUCUUGGGGAAACGGGUAGGUACCUAUGCUAUAAUCACCAAGAGCCCAUGGGCUAAUAUUGGGGGUUCUUUAUUUAUGAAAUGGUUUAUAUCCGCUAUUUAAGCUGUCCCAGAAGGGCCCUCAAGAUAGCGCAAAUCAUCGAAAUAAUACAGUGCAAAAAAGUGACGUUAAAAUGGCGGCAACACCCAAAUCUCUUUAGGACCCAAGGAUGUAAGUUGCUGAAGGACAGGUCAUUGGGUUAGAGAGGGUCUGUUUCAGAGUCAGUGUUCAGAGAGUCAGUGUUCAGAACAUAGAGCUGGAUAGACUGAUGUUCUGACUUGGUAGGAGAUGUUUUCUUAUGUGCCAGUAAAGGCCAGGUGGGAGGGCAACUCUGAUCUCUGAAGGUUCCAUUGAGAGGGCUUUGUGAUAACUUAUUUUGUGAAGAGCCAGACUGUAGAUUUAAGAGUUCUUCCUGGUGCUGGUUUGUUGUGGAAUCGGAUCUAUCCAUCCAUCCAUCCAUCCAAAUAACAUCUUCUCAUCCGUAUGGCAGCCAUUUAUUUUGUCCCAUUUUAUCCUUUCUGGGGGAAAUCUGAUAAUUUUGAAAAACCGAUGUAGACCUGUAGCCGACGCCCUGCUUGCGAUAUCUUGGAAACCCAUUUACAACCACUGUUAGAAACUUGGAUAUAAAAGCCGAUCUUACAUCUGGAUUACGGUUGCCGCGAAGGAAUGUCUAGGUGCCUUUUUAUUAUUUUUCGUUUCACUUCUAUACCACUAUAUAUUUUAAAGAAAGAAAAUCUCGAAGCAGUUUAUAACACACUAAAACAUCAAAUAGAAACAAUCCAGAAUCAAAACAAAUUCAAGCAUCAAGGAAAAUAUUUCGGAUCUUUCUCUAUGUGACCUUUUUCCUUUCCCCAUAUUUAUUUACCUACUUAAUAGAGCUGCCCCAUAGCAGACGUACUUGGAGUGGAUGUUGUCUGAAACUCUGGAGAGUUGCUGCUGGUCAAUAUAGCCAAUGUGGAGCUAGAUGGACCAUUGGCCUGACAUGGUGAUGGAGGAAGAUGGCAGCCGUGGCCACUGCCACCCCCCAAACGGACUGGUUAGUUGGAGCCAGAGGCUUGUACUGUAUGGGGUUUAAUCUGUGCCAGACUCUAAUGCUGGGGCUAAAUUCCGGCACAUGUGUCCUAACAAACCCUGAGAAUGUGCAGAGUGCAGCAAUGUGAGCUUUCCAGAAGCUUUUGAAGCAAGAGGGGUUUUCAUUGGACAAUUUUUAGUUUGCCUCGGGGGGGGGGAUUCGGAUGCUCUAAGUUUGAUGCAACCUAGCAUGUUUAGUUUACUUGCAUUUAGAAAAUAAAGCUUAAAAUGCAAUUAA